AAAGUGCACUGCUAAGGGCUGGGGGAAAAAAAAGUAACAUCUGUGACUGAAAGGGCAGAGAUCUGACUGAUUUACCAGUUAGCUGAUCUGAUUGCACACAGGGAGCCUGCUCGCCCUGUGCAGCCUCCCAGCCUUGGUGGGAGAAGGUGCCCGUGCUCACUGCACUCUGAGUGCAGAGGAGCCUCUCAGUCCUGCACUGAAGGUACUCCCAGGAGCAGCUCACCUUGGGGAAAC
rnacentral:lncRNA from 1 species